AGCGAACGCUGGCGGCAGGCCUAACACAUGCAAGUCGAACGGACCCUUCGGGGUUAGUGGCGGACGGGUGAGUAACACGUGGGAACGUGCCUUUAGGUUCGGAAUAGCUCCUGGAAACGGGUGGUAAUGCCGAAUGUGCCCUUCGGGGGAAAGAUUUAUCGCCUUUAGAGCGGCCCGCGUCUGAUUAGCUAGUUGGUGAGGUAAUGGCUCACCAAGGCGACGAUCAGUAGCUGGUCUGAGAGGAUGACCAGCCACAUUGGGACUGAGACACGGCCCAAACUCCUACGGGAGGCAGCAGUGGGGAAUCUUGCGCAAUGGGCGAAAGCCUGACGCAGACAUGCCGCGUGGAUGAUGAAGGUCUUAGGAUUGUAAAAUUCUUUUACCAGGGACGAUAAUGACGGUACCUGGAGAAAAAGCCCCGGCUAACUUCGUGCCAGCAGCCGCGGUAAUAC
rnacentral:rRNA from 1 species